rnacentral:lncRNA from 1 species
UUUCCAAAGCUUGCACGUCUGAGCUUUUUGAGAACCACAUUUGAUCCUUCCAAAGUAUUAGAUAUAAAUGUUUUGUCUUGUGCCUGCUUGACAGUUCUAGGGGACUCUGCAUGGCUCCUGCUAACCCAUCAUAGUGACAGGUGCAUGUUUCCCUGGGAUAGGACAGAGUGAGAAACUGCCUGCCUUACACCACAGGCCCCCAGAGUUGGGCUUCAUCCUGAGUCAUGCUUUGGACACUGCUCAGAAGAGGAUGGGGCUCUGAGAGGGGACAGGUCCCACAUGGCUGCAGAGAUGGACCUGGAUGAAAGAAGGGGCACAGGCAUCCUGCCUCAGCUUUAUGUCCUUUUUCAGCAAUUUAUACACUCACUCACUCUACCCUUACCCAGCCUUUACCUCAUUUUAUUUCUACAGGUCAUUUUCAUAGACACUAUUCUGAGAUGAUGUUCUUCCUUUUUAUAUAUAGAAAAAAGCCAUCUUAAAACAACUGCAGUGGCAAUUCCUAUAAGCCCAAUGACUCAGAAGGCUGAAGCAGGAGGACCCCAAGUUCAAGGCCUGCCUGGGCAACUUAGACCCUAUCUCACUAAUAAAAAAAAAAAAGUAAAGGGCUGGGGAUAUAGCUCAGUGUAGAACACUUGCCUAGCCUAUGCAAGACCCUGGGUGCAAUCCCUAGUAGCAAGGAAAAACUAAACCAUCUUUAAAAAUAAACAAACACAGUAGCUAUUCUGAGUAUGUCUCAAGAUAGCUGAGCAUGAUAAGGGGUAUAUAUCAUAAUUGUUGGUUGUUAUGAGCUACAUACUAUCAUCAUCAUCAAAAUCAUAGAAUAUCAACCAUUUAUUGAGAUCUUACUUUGUACAAGGAAGUGGGAAGCAUUUUACAGUUUUUGUAAAUCUUCCCAGUCCCCUUUCAAAACCAAUAUUCCUAUCUCUUCAUCUCACAGAGAAGGGACCAAGCCUGGCGAGGUUAAGUAGCCUGCACCAGGUCUUCAGUUGGUCAGAGGGUCUAGGACAUUGCCGUGGCUUUUUUUUCUUCCUGAAAGAGCCGAAAGCAAGGCACCUACUGCCAGCUCCAAGAGUCCAAAACUACCAGGCACAGUUGGAAGGAGCAUUCAUACCAGGUCCUUUCUGUGGCUCUCAGGCCUCCCCCAGCCAACCCAGCACCAUCAGGGAGUGAUUCCUCAGGGAUGAGGUCGGAGGCCAGGUUCUUAGACAACCCUAAUGCUGUCACAGGCAUGUAGUACCUCCGGGGCAUCUAAUCCCAGUGUCUGUCCUCCAGUUCUGCAGGGCUUCAGGAGCAAGGCUUUCUCUGAGAGGCAGGAUUAUUCCUUUUCAACAUCAUUCUGGCCCUAGCUUCAAAGAACUUGAAGAAAGCUAGAGGAGACCACAGUAGAUUUUCUACUUGGAUAGCAAGAGUCUGAUUAACCCUCAGCCCAAUU